UACGUAGGGGGCGAGCGUUGUUCGGAUUUACUGGGCGUAAAGAGCGCGUAGGUGGUUCGAUAAGUCGGAGGUGAAAUCCCUCGGCUCAACCGAGGAUCCGCGUCCGAUACUGUCGGACUUGAGUGCAGGAGAGGAGAGCGGAAUUCCCAGUGUAGCGGUGAAAUGCGUAGAUAUUGGGAGGAACACCGGUGGCGAAGGCGGCUCUCUGGACUGCUACUGACACUGAGGCGCGAAAGCUAGGGGAGCAAAC
rnacentral:rRNA from 1 species